rnacentral:rRNA from 1 species
UACGUAGGGUGCGAGCGUUAAUCGGAAUUACUGGGCGUAAAGCGUGCGCAGGCGGUUCGUUAAGUCAGAUGUGAAAGCCCCGGGCUCAACCUGGGAACUGCAUUUGAAACUGGCGGGCUUGAGUAUGGCAGAGGGGGGUGGAAUUCCGCGUGUAGCAGUGAAAUGCGUAGAGAUGCGGAGGAACACCGAUGGCGAAGGCAGCCCCCUGGGCCGAUACUGACGCUGAGGCGCGAAAGCGUGGGGAGCAAACAGG